AUACGGAGGGUCCGAGCGUUAAUCGGAAUUACUGGGCGUAAAGCGUACGUAGGUGGCUUGAUUAGUCGGAUGUGAAAGCCCUGGGCUCAACCUGGGAACUGCAUUCGAUACUGUCUGGCUAGAGUAUAGUAGAGGCAAGUGGAAUUCCGGGUGUAGCGGUGAAAUGCGUAGAUAUCCGGAGGAACACCAGUGGCGAAGGCGGCUUGCUGGACUAAUACUGACACUGAGGUACGAAAGCGUGGGGAGCAAACAGGAUUAGAAACCCCAGUAGUCC
rnacentral:rRNA from 1 species